rnacentral:rRNA from 1 species
UCUCUCUGAAUCUGCGAACGGCUCCGCAAACCAGUUGUAAACCAUAGCAGGCACGCCUUGGGCCGCCGCAAGGCGGUCCUUGGCUAUAAGGAUAACCCUGGUAAUUCUGAGGCUAAUACAUGAACGUAACCCCCGGCCGACGGGCAACUGGAAGCCGGGGACCGUGCGAGUAGGCGCAACGGUUUAUCGGAGUAGUCGCACAGUACGACCACCAUCCAAACGGUAUCUGCUUCGCUGCCUCACGGCGGCUGGUGGUGUCCGGGUGGCUCUUGCAAGGUGCUUCUGACCUAUCAACUAGAUGGCAGCGUAACGGACAUGCUAUGGUGACAACGGGUACAGAGGAUAAGGGUUCGAUCCUGGAGAGUGGGCCUGAGAGAUUGCUCACACUUCUAAGGAAGGCAGCAGGCGCGCAACGUUCCCCUUGGGCAAAGCUCGAGGGCGUUAGGGGACAUAUGAAUGCCUGCCUUAUGGUGGGCAAUUCAAAUGGGUCUGUUCUAAACAGCCUCUCGA